rnacentral:pre_miRNA from 1 species
CAAGUACUACCUCCGUCCUAAAAUUAUUGUCUUUGAUUUGUUUAAAUAUGAAUGUAUCUAGUCAUGUAUUAGUAUUUAGAUACAUCCAUUUCUAAACAAAUCUAAGAUAAUAAUUUUGGGACGGAGGGAGUAUGCU